AUGAAUCAGCCGUAAGCAUGGGUAAUCCUAGGGGUGGAGCUUUCUAGUCGUGGACCUGGUUCAAGCAUGUAGCUUCUACAAGAGCUCUGUAAAUAAAGUUACCUGUUUCAAAUGGAUCUAAAUUUUGCUGAGCAUUCCCAGAGUCAAAAAAGCAUCAUCUCUCUGUACAUCUGUUAUCCUCGGUGGGAUCUCCACAGACGCUUUUGCUUUCCAUGUCACUUCAUGGUUGAGGAAAUGCAUUCCACAUGAUGUGGGACACAAUCCCUCAUGAGUCUGUUUUCCUUCCUCCUGUCAUCCUAGAUGAACUGGUCAAACCGAACAAACUAAUCCCUUAGUAUCAUUUCUAUCAUGAAUAUCUUUUGAAACUGGAAAUUGAUCUUGGCUUUUCUAGGUGAGACCCACUGCAUUUCUCUAUUUUUGAACUAUGAUAAUGCAUACUGGAUGGUUGAUCAACUCUCCAAUAUCACAGCCAAAUGCUCCUGUUGUCUCAACACCCACACAAAAAUGUUUGAUAUAAGAUCUUAGGUAUAGUGCAGGAAGAUCUUGGAAAAUGUUUUUCCUAACCCAAUAUAGCCAGGAAAUAAAUAAAUGCAAAUGGUCUUAGAAAUAAAAGUUAGAAUGUGAAA